ensembl:lncRNA
AAUGCAUUAAAGCUCAUGUUUGGUGAGGAUUAACCCCAGUGCAGAAAAGAAAACAAUACUCCGGGUCACUUGCAUUCAGCUCACAGUUUUUGAGAGGGUGUUAUCUCCAUGUUUAUCACAUUUUACAGGUGAGCCCAUGCACAGUUGAGAGAUUAUCCAAGUAAAAAAUUCUUAGACAUGCCGAGACUGAUCUGAAACACAAACUGUAGACCCCACGUGGAUGCACACCGUCUGGGCAGCUAUAUAACUGUCGGCAUAAGCAAUCACCAGACUCAGAGUUCCUCGUCGUCCCAACGAACACUUUAAACACUUCGGAGUAAGAAGAAACACCUUUGGCAUCAUGUCCAGGAUCACCGCGGUAACGAUCUUGCUCAUCAUUCUCGUCAACAGCUUGUGCAGCAGCGCAGCUCCUUCCCAUGGAGUAUCCCUGUAUAUUCGCAAGUGCAGAUGCACAGAGAUUUCCACAGGCAGGUUUAAGUGUCCCAAACCGCUCAUGCCCACAAACUACAACAAGCAGCGAGAUGUGUUUAAAUGCGCCUGCAAAAAAAUACAAGAAGAGAAGCGUUCAGAUCUUCUGCAGUUCUGCCGUGUGAUCAAGAAAUACAACCUUGCUGAUCUGCUCUGAGAUAAAGAAGUCCAGACACUGACUAACCAAACUUAAUAUCCUAUUACGUAUGACAUUAAUCUUGUUAUGUAGAUGGUUGUGAUUUUUUCUGAAAUUGUAAAUAAAGACAGUUAUUUUUUUUAUUACAUAGAGUCUCGUCUCCUUCUGUGUUUCCACAUAUUUAACUGAAAAAGCCCUCAACCUUGAAAACAAAUAAAAUGAACAUUUUUAAUAUCCUAUUAUUCAUUUUUUGUCCUUUUUUUAGUAUUUUGAAAUUUUAAAAACAUGAAAGAGAAGCAAUUAUUGUUAUAUAUGAUCUGGUCUCACUCUGAAAUGUGUUCAUAGAUUUCACAGAGACAAUGACAUAAAUACACUGAUUAAUAGUGAAUCAUUUCUAUGGAGGAUUACUUGUUUCCCAGCUGCCUGGCCUCCAAUCUUCAUGUUGAACUAUAGUAAAAGAAGUUCAGCACAAAAGUGAGAGUGGUUUCUAUGUCACCCAGAGUUAAACAAGACAUUAAAUGGACAUUUUUCCCUAAAUAUCAUCAAAGUGUGUGUUGCUUUAAUGGCAGGAAUGCUUGUGAAAUAAAUGACUCAUUUCUUCAAUGCUGUUACAAAACCCUCACCACACAGGCAGGAAUGUCCACUGAUAUAUAAACUGAUGAUAAUGUUCAUCUUCUUUUUUUUUUUAAAGGUUUAUUUUUUUAUGCCUUCAACUGAAAACAACAAUAAAACAACAAAAUCAAGACACAGAAUCACUUUUCACAUGUUAGCCUCACACGUCCUGUUCUUGUCUUAUUGUCAGUUACUGUUAAUAAUCAGGUCCUACAUUUCUGAGCAGACAUAAUAUAUUUUCAGGCUGCAGUAUUUUUAAUGCUACUCGAGCUGAUUUCUGUUAGCUGUGGCCCCUGAAGAAGUAGACAAAACCUUUGUUUGAUGGAGGCAUCGAUUCACAACUUUAUCUGCCAAGACAAAGAGAAAUUCAGAUAUCAGCACACCAGCACUGCAUAUGUGGACAAUAGGACCUGCCUUUGCAAAUCAUUUUGUGUAACUUUCAAACUUUAAUAGUCAUUAUUUCCUUGAGUUGAAAGCACUAAUGAAAACAAAUGACAUUAGCCCAUUGUGCCAACACAGGCACACUCUCUGUCACUGAAUAGUGAAGUAAAACCUGUGGGUUAUAAGUCCUUUUAGAGUUUUAUCUGUGAACUCCAAAUCCUGCAGGUCAGCAGUGAUAGCAGUCAUGGGAACACAGAGGCUUGUUUUUCCAAACAAUACGAUCUAUCUGAUUUCAGAUUUGUAGCAGAACUCUGCAAGCAAAGCACCAUUUUGUCUCUAAUGUUCAUCAAAGGCUUGUAGAAGCAAGUCCACUUGGCGGUAGCCAUCUUGGCAACAAUUUCAUGUAGUUUUUUCCAGC